AUCAGCUGUACUCUGAGGAAACCCAUCUCCUCCCCAUACCGCACCUCUGUCAUACGACGAUUUUGGAACACACUGCAGAGUAUAAACCAGACGAAUCAGAUGCUGGUCUACUUGCAGUCCUUUAACUCUCUCCCAGAGAAUUACACCAUACCUGAGAGCACCAAGAACGGAGUUCCUCUCUUCUACAUCCCCCCCUGGAUCCACCAUGCCGGUUCUCUCCCUACAGCACAGUUGCUCUAAAGACUCCUCCCAGUCCCAGUUUGCCUCAUACUGGAAGCCCAUCCUGUCCAAGGAUGCAAACCUCUGGCAGAGAUGUCUUCACAUACACCGCAUCACCAUCAUCCUGGAGCACGACAUGUGAGAGAUGCCUUGAGAGAUUGUACCUUUUUUGUUGUUGUCAAUUUAUCAAUAUCAUCCUUGGGAGCAGCCUUUACAGUCCUCUCCCAGUCAAUAGUAGAGAGAGAGAGAACUGUGGACCUUCUCUUGUUCCGCUACUGACUGUUUCAGGUCUACGCACCAACUAUUGUACAGUUGUUCCUCCUUUAAAAGUUGCGAGCUUACGCUGCGGGACUUAGAGGUAAUUUGUGGUUUAGUACGGUACCCUGCGUCACCACUUCAUUGCUCCAGUCCAGCGCAAGGGGGAGUUAGAGCACUGAUUAUGCUUUUGGGUCCUAAUGUGUCUCUAGGAAUCUACUAUUUUUAUGUCUCUGCGACCAGUAUGACAGAAGUUAUAUAUUUUUGUAUUCUAAUUUAUAUAAUUAUUUCAAACAGUAACAUGCAAAAUACAAAAAACAGAACAGCCAGAGGGAGUAUACAAAGAAAUAAUGAAGAGAAAAAAAAUCCACAUUAUAUCAAAUGAAAAAGACAUGUUUGUAACGAAUACAUUGAGACAUUUUGUUUAGCAUACAUUUUAAUGAUUUAAAUAGUUUUCCAAAUAUGUUUUUCUUUAUUCAA